UACGUAGGGUCCGAGCGUUGUCCGGAAUUACUGGGCGUAAAGAGCUCGUAGGUGGUUUGUCGCGUUGUUCGUGAAAACUCACAGCUUAACUGUGGGCGUGCGGGCGAUACGGGCAGACUAGAGUUCGGUAGGGGAGUCUGGAAUUCCUGGUGUAGCGGUGAAAUGCGCAGAUAUCAGGAGGAACACCGAUGGCGAAGGCAGGUCUCUGGGCAUUAACUGACGCUGAGGAGCGAAAAGCGUGGGGAGCGAACAGG
rnacentral:rRNA from 1 species